UUCCCCCGUUCGGGGGGACGAGGGUGGACAGGUGGUGCAUGGUUGUCGUCAGCUCGUGUCGUGAGAUGUUGGGUUAAGUCCCGCAACGAGCGCAACCCUCGACCUUAGUUGCCAGCAUUCAGUUGGGCACUCUAAGGUGACUGCCGGCUAAAAGUCGGAGGAAGGUGGGGAUGACGUCAAAUCAUCAUGCCCCUUAUGACCUGGGCUACACACGUGCUACAAUGGGCGGUACAAAGGGUCGCGAACCCGCGAGGGGGAGCCAAUCCCAAAAAGCCGCUCUCAGUUCGGAUUGCAGGCUGCAACUCGCCUGCAUGAAGCCGGAAUCGCUAGUAAUCGCGGAUCAGCAUGCCGCGGUGAAUACGUUCCCGGGCCUU
rnacentral:rRNA from 1 species